CGGGGUGUAGCGCAGUUGGUAGCGCGCCUGCUUUGGGAGCAGGAUGCCGCAGGUUCGAAUCCUGUCACUCCGA
rnacentral:tRNA from 3 species